rnacentral:rRNA from 1 species
UACGUAGGGUCCGAGCGUUGUCCGGAAUUAUUGGGCGUAAAGGGCUCGUAGGCGGUUUGUCGCGUCGGGAGUGAAAACACGGGGCUUAACCCCGUGCCUGCUUCCGAUACGGGCAGACUAGAGUGCGGUAGGGGUGACUGGAAUUCCUGGUGUAGCGGUGGAAUGCGCAGAUAUCAGGAGGAACACCGAUGGCGAAGGCAGGUCACUGGGCCGCAACUGACGCUGAGGAGCGAAAGCAUGGGGAGCGAACAGG